AGAAGUGUUUGAUGAACAGAUGAACCUGAUGCAUUCAUAAGAGAACAGAGCUGAAACAGUGCAGACCUUGGGCAUAUCCUUUCAGAUAUCCUUCAUGACCCAUGUCCACCCAGCAGUCCUAGAUCCCUGUUGUACUUCCACUGCAAAAUAGUAUCAGGAAUUUGUAGUGCUGUCUUUCUGAAGUAGUGGAUUGUGGAAAGCUCAAAGUCUGACGGGAGUCAAAGGGGUGGAGGAGGAGGGACAAGAAUAAUUAUGCCUCUAUUUUCCUGGGAAACAAUAUAAUGUUAGAAGCUGAUGUUGCAAUGAAGAUGGCUGAACAGAGGGCAAGCUAAGAACUCUCAAGCAGCUUUCUGUAAAGCAUCUUUUUGGGAGAGCUAAGCAUCUCCUGGAGCAGAUGUGAAGGAUGGAUCAGAGCCAGUGAUGACUCAGUAAGAUACUAGCAGGCUGUGGUUGCACAAUUAAGGAUCAUUGCUACUGGAUUGGUGCAGUAAUAGAUCAUCCAGUGGGACCAGCUGUGUCUGGAACAGGACUUCUUUGAUCUGUUUGGAUGUUUUUAUUUGCAACCACAAUGAUAUUGGACAAAGCCCAUUCCCAUUCAGGUCAACUGGAAAGCAUGGACUGAAUAACUUGAUAUCCACUGAGUUCAGCAUGAAUUGGAUCAGGCCUAAGGUCAGAGGCUGGGUUAAGAUCAUCUGGAGCAAAUACACACCCCUGCCCCUCUUCUGUUCUCCAAAGUCUUUAAGACCCCAAGGUGAGCAACCCUAGAGCUUUUCCUUUCUCUGUGGUGGAAUGCAGUUGGCCGGAGUCUGAUUCAAGGAAAGAAGUGGAACACUAUAUUCUGGUAACAUACCCUCACACCCCUACUUCAUUAUAACUUGGGUUUUGGGCCUUGGUUCAGUUUCACCAUCUGCUGUCUAUCUUAUUUCUCUUGCACUGUAUCUAACUGACAGCCACAAAAGCUCAUCUGAUUCUCCAUUACAUUUCUUGCCA
rnacentral:lncRNA from 1 species